AGCGAACGCUGGCGGCAGGCUUAACACAUGCAAGUCGAACGGGCAUAGCAAUCUUUCAGUGGCAGACGGGUGAGUAACGCGUUGGAACGUACCUUUUGGUUCGGAACAACACAGGGAAACUUGUUCUAAUACCUGAUAAGCCCUUACGGUGAAAGAUUUAUCUCCGAAAGAUCGGCCCGCGUCUGAUUAGCUAGUUGGUAGGGUAAUGGCCUACCAAGGCGACGAUCAGUAGCUGGUCUGAGAGGAUGAUCAGCCACAUUGGGACUGAGACACGGCCCAAACUCGUACGGGAGGCAGCAGUGGGGAAUAUUGGGCAAUGGGCGAAAGCCUGAUCCAGCCAUGCCGCGUGAGUGAUGAAGGCCGUAGGGUUGUAAAGCUCUUUUGUGCGGGAAGAUAAUGACGGUACCGCAAGAAUAAGCCCCGGCUAACUUCGUG
rnacentral:rRNA from 1 species